AGCUUUUAUAGGAAAUCAUUAGCCAAUGCUUACCUAUGGGAUCCACUUUAUUCAGCAAUUGCUUUGAUUGAUUGGAUUCACAGCAAUGGCCAUGCAUGCGCUAAUUUCAUGCAAACAGGAAGGAGACACUGUUGCCACUAACCGUAGUGGAGCAGCAGGGAAGAAAACUUGCCGUUGGACAAAAAAAGUUAACUUUAUUUAUUCGGGAUGGGGCACCCAGGAUGCAAUGGGUUAAAGGAAUACUCCAAGCAUUAAAAUAUAUAUUUGCUUUUAACGUUGAUGUGUUCCUUUUACUUUCUCCAAAAGGGUGUGAGAGCAUGAACGUGACAUUAACGAACACUGGGUUUA